GUGGAAGAGAAAACACAUUUCCUUUUUUUUCCUACAGAUCCCCAAAUUCACUUCUAUUCAAAACCCUAAUUUCUCUUUUUCCUCACAUUUCCUCCCGAUCGAGAAAUCCAAAAACCUAGAUUUCGUUUCCUCAAAUUCGAUUCUUCUCUGAGUGAAGAAUUUGACUUAGCAAGAGGAGGAAAUAAAAUUGGAUAUUUUUUCUGUAAUUUUUUUGAACAAGAGAUGAGAUUUAAUAGAUGAAGAAGAACAAUGCCAGAGUUAAGGAGUGGAGCUCGUAGAGGUAGACCAGUAAAACCUAAAAUCAAACAAGAAGUUGAAGAAGAGAAAGUGAUUGUUGAACCUAGAAGAAGAAGUAGAAGAACAACACCAGCUAUUACAGCUACUGCUACUGAUAAGAAGAAUAAACAAGUAGUAAUUGGUGGUGAUAAUAAUGUUGAUGAUAACAAGAGUAAGAGAUUGAUUGUUCAGAAACAAGAAACAACAGCAGCAGCAGAAGAAGAAGAGUUUAAAUUUGUUGAAGAAGAAGAAGAUUUGAAGGUUGAGAAAGAAGAAGAAGAAGAGAAGAUGGAUAGUGGUGAUGCUUGUAAGAGUAAAAGUGCUGAUAAAUGUGUUGAUGAUGAAGGAAGUACACCUCCCAUUCCUGAAAAGGUUACAGUUGGAGGUUCACCAAUGUACAAAAUUGAGAAAAAGCUAGGUAAAGGAGGAUUUGGUCAGGUAUAUGUUGGUAGAAGGGUUUCAGGUGGAAGUGGGACUUCUGGUCCAACUGCUGUAGAGGUGGCUUUAAAAUUUGAGCAUAGAACUAGUAAGGGAUGUAACUAUGGACCUCCGUAUGAGUGGCAGGUCUACAACACACUUGGUGGUAGUCACGGGGUGCCGAGAGUUCAUUACAAGGGAAAGCAAGGGGAUUUUUAUAUCAUGGUUAUGGAUAUGUUGGGUCCAAGUUUGUGGGAUGUCUGGAAUAACAACUCCCAUACGAUGUCCAUCGAAAUGGUUGCAUGUAUUGCCAUCGAAGCAAUCUCUAUACUGGAGAAGAUGCACUCAAGAGGGUACGUGCAUGGGGAUGUAAAGCCAGAGAACUUUUUGCUUGGAACCCCAGGGACUCAUGAAGAAAAAAAACUGUUCCUAGUUGAUCUUGGAUUGGCUACUAGGUGGCGAGAUACUUCAACUGGUCAGCAUGUGGAGUAUGAUCAGCGACCAGAUAUAUUCAGGGGAACAGUACGUUACGCUAGUGCUCAUGCUCAUUUAGGAAGAACUGGAAGCAGAAGAGACGACUUAGAGUCUCUUGCUUAUACACUUGUUUUUCUUCUACGUGGUCGUCUUCCUUGGCAAGGAUACCAGGGAGAUAAUAAAGGAUUUCUCGUCUGCAAGAAAAAGAUGGCUACAUCUCCAGAUUCACUUUGUUGCUUCUGUCCACAGCCAUUCCGACAGUUUGUUGAAUACGUUGUCAACCUGAAAUUCGAUGAGGAACCAAACUAUCCAAAAUAUAUUUCCCUCUUUGAUGGGAUUGUUGGGCCGAAUCCAGAUAUCAGGCCAAUUAACACGGAUGGGGCACAAAAGCUGAUAUUCCAGGUUGGUCAUAAGAGAGGCCGAUUCACUAUGGAAGAAGAGGAUGACGAGCAACCAAAGAAGAAGGUACGGCUGGGGAUGCCUGCAAAUCAAUGGAUGAGUGUAUACAAUGCUCGCCGACCCAUGAAGCAAAGGUAUCACUACAAUGUCGCUGAUGUGAGGCUUUCUCAGCACAUUGACAAAGGAAAUGAAGAUGGACUGUAUAUCAGCUCUGUAGCUUCUUCUUCAAACCUUUGGGCAUUGAUUAUGGAUGCUGGUACUGGAUUCAGUUCCCAAGUAUAUGAGCUCACACCCCAUUUUCUUCACAAAGAAUGGAUAAUGGAACAGUGGGAUCUGACCUAUUACAUCAGUGCUAUAGCAGGGGCAAGUAAUGGUAGCUCGUUAGUUGUAAUGUCUAAAGGUACACAGUAUACACAGCAGUCUUACAAGGUACACAGUAUACACAGCAGUCUUACAAGGUUAGUGAUGCAUUUCCUUUCAAGUGGAUAAACAAAAAGUGGAAGGAGGGAUUUUAUGUUACAUCCAUGGCCACUGCUGGAAGUAGAUGGGCUGUUGUUAUGUCACGUAAUGCAGGAUUUUCUGACCAGGUGGUUGAACUUGAUUUUCUAUAUCCAAGUGAAGGCAUUCAUCGUAGGUGGGAUAAUGGUUACCGAAUCACAUCGACUGCAGCUACUUGUGAUCAGGCUGCUUUUGUUCUUAGUGUGCCAAGAAAGAAGCUUCCAGAUGAAACUCAGGAGACACUCAGAACGUCGUCUUUCCCUAGCACACAUGUUAAGGAGAAAUGGGCGAAGAAUUUGUACCUGGCAUCUGUUUGUUACGGCCGAACUGUUUCAUGAGCAAGCUUGUUUUUGUUGGGACACUUCCUGGCAAUGUGUUGGGGAUACUUCACUCAGAUGGGAGGGCUCAUUUAGGGAAGCCUGCCAAACUGCUCAUUGUCAGAUCUGAGCUGAAGAAAUUUUGGAUUGUGCGAUGCUUUCUUAAUCGCCAUCUAUUGUAUUGAACAUGUUUGCCCACGGAAUAAUGUAUACAUGAUUACGAUACAAUUGUGGAACACUGAGUUCUACAAUUCCAAUAGAAAAUUUCCUCCAAGCAAGGCAUUAGUUGCCUUAGGUAUCAACAUCUUAUUACAUAGUAUCUUACUGACGAACCCUCAAA